UUGCUCUCUUAAAGUAAUCUUCCGCUCUGCUCACACAAACAAAUAUCUUAGUCAACAACUGCUUUUUAGGUAAUUGGAAAAGAUCUUUACAUGAAAAGCGCGUGUGUGGUCAAACCCAAGAUAUUUACCACGAUACAAAACCAAAACAUGCCACAUAUUUCCUAUCAAGACAACCCCACCGAAAUAUAUUUGCAGACGACAAUUUCAAUUAAACGACUUGUACAUUGUUUGGCGACUGGGAAUAAACCCAGGAGAUAUUCUUCUUCUUCUAACAAGAAUUUCUCUCAACUAGCUAAAAUAUCAACCUAAUUGUAACAUUAUCUCCAAAAGCUACAACGGAAACGGGGAAGGAGGAAAAUUUCACCAAUAAUGCCAUAAGAAUUUUUGAAACAGACUUAAAAAAUUAACAGAACAAAAAAAUGAUGUUAGAUU
rnacentral:misc_RNA from 1 species